rnacentral:rRNA from 1 species
GAGUGGCGAACGGGUGAGUAACACGUGGGUAACCUGCCCAGAAGUAGGGGAUAACACCUGGAAACAGAUGCUAAUACCGUAUAACAGAGAAAACCGCAUGGUUUUCUUUUAAAGAUGGCUCUGCUAUCACUUCUGGAUGGACCCGCGGCGUAUUAGCUAGUUGGUGAGGUAAAGGCUCACCAAGGCAGUGAUACGUAGCCGACCUGAGAGGGUAAUCGGCCACAUUGGGACUGAGACACGGCCCAGACUCCUACGGGAGGCAGCAGUAGGGAAUCUUCCACAAUGGACGCAAGUCUGAUGGAGCAACGCCGCGUGAGUGAAGAAGGGUUUCGGCUCGUAAAGCUCUGUUGUUAAAGAAGAACGUGGGUAAGAGUAACUGUUUACCCAGUGACGGUAUUUAACCAGAAAGCCACGGCUAACUACGUGCCAGCAGCCGCGGUAAUACGUAGGUGGCAAGCGUUAUCCGGAUUUAUUGGGCGUAAAGCGAGCGCAGGCGGUCUUUUAAGUCUAAUGUGAAAGCCUUCGGCUCAACCGAAGAAGUGCAUUGGAAACUGGGAGACUUGAGUGCAGAAGAGGACAGUGGAACUCCAUGUGUAGCGGUGAAAUGCGUAGAUAUAUGGAAGAACACCAGUGGCGAAGGCGGCUGUCUGGUCUGCAACUGACGCUGAGGCUCGAAAGCAUGGGUAGCGAACAGGAUUAGAUACCCUGGUAGUCCAUGCCGUAAACGAUGAUUACUAAGUGUUGGAGGGUUUCCGCCCCUUCAGUGCUGCAGCUAACGCAUUAAGUAAUCCGCCUGGGGGAGUACGACCGCAAGGUUGAAACUCAAAAGAAUUGACGGGGGCCCGCACAAGCGGUGGAGCAUGUGGUUUAAUUCGAAGCUACGCGAAGAACCUUACCAGGUCUUGACAUCUUCUGACAGUCUAAGAGAUUAGAGGUUCCCUUCGGGGACAGAAUGACAGGUGGUGCAUGGUUGUCGUCAGCUCGUGUCGUGAGAUGUUGGGUUAAGUCCCGCAACGAGCGCAACCCUUAUUACUAGUUGCCAGCAUUAAGUUGGGCACUCUAGUGAGACUGCCGGUGACAAACCGGAGGAAGGUGGGGACGACGUCAAAUCAUCAUGCCCCUUAUGACCUGGGCUACACACGUGCUACAAUGGAUGGUACAACGAGUCGCGAGACCGCGAGGUUAAGCUAAUCUCUUAAAACCAUUCUCAGUUCGGACUGUAGGCUGCAACUCGCCUACACGAAGUCGGAAUCGCUAGUAAUCGCGGAUCAGCAUGCCGCGGUGAAUACGUUCCCGGGCCUUGUACACACCGCCCGUCACACCAUGAGAGUUUGUAACACCCAAAGCCGGUGGGGUAACCUUUUAGGAGCUAGCCGUCUA